rnacentral:rRNA from 1 species
UACGGAGGGGACUAGCGUUGUUCGGAAUUACUGGGCGUAAAGCGCACGUAGGCGGAUUUGUAAGUCAGGGGUGAAAUCCCGGGGCUCAACCUCGGAACUGCCUUUGAUACUGCAAAUCUCGAGUCCGGAAGAGGUGAGUGGAAUUCCUAGUGUAGAGGUGAAAUUCGUAGAUAUUAGGAAGAACACCAGUGGCGAAGGCGGCUCACUGGUCCG